rnacentral:rRNA from 1 species
AUUGAACGCUGGCGGCAGGCCUAACACAUGCAAGUCGAGCGGAUGAAGGGAGCUUGCUCCUGGAUUCAGCGGCGGACGGGUGAGUAAUGCCUAGGAAUCUGCCUGGUAGUGGGGGAUAACGUCCGGAAACGGGCGCUAAUACCGCAUACGUCCUGAGGGAGAAAGUGGGGGAUCUUCGGACCUCACGCUAUCAGAUGAGCCUAGGUCGGAUUAGCUAGUUGGUGGGGUAAAGGCCUACCAAGGCGACGAUCCGUAACUGGUCUGAGAGGAUGAUCAGUCAAAAUUGAACUGAGAAACGGGUCCGACUCCUACGGGGAGCAGGAGGUGGGAAUAUUUGACAAAUGGCGGAAGCCUGAUUCAGCCAUGCCGGGGGGUGUGAGAAGGGUCUCGGAUUGGAAAGCCCCUUAAGUUUGGAGGAAGGGCAGUAAGGUAAUAACUUGCUGGUUUGACGUUACCAACAGAAUAAGCACCGGCUAACUUCGUG